GAUAGAGGGUACAUAAUAUAUAUCAGUGACAUAGCACUAGCUGGUGUAUUACAUAAAAGUAACAGGUAUACAAAACAAAAUCAAAUAAAAUCAGAAAAGCCGGGCUCCUUGUUGUGCUACAUGCUUUGUGGGGAAUCCUUGCUUUCAGUCAGACACCAGUCGUGAGGGUUAAAACAGAUAGAAAGAAGCUAGAUUCCAUCGAUCUCCUUGUCAGUCUCUAAGAGGGGGAUCUCCAUAUUUAAGUUCGUUUUCCGUUGGUCAAAAGUGAUCCAGUCUGAUUUUAGGGUGCUAUUUACUAACCCAAGAGACAAGGACGUGUUCUCCCUGGGCCCGCUUGAUAUCAACAGGCACACGUCCCGUGAGGAGUUCGAGAAGAACCACACCAUAGCUGUAAACAUCUGACUUUGUGGUAAGCUUACCCGUGGCGUACCUACAUCAUGCCCAAAUUUAAGGGACAAAUUAAAUUUAUGCAAUAAUUUAUGAAAGAAGUUGUAAAUAUAUCAUGAAUGGUGUGCAGUAUAAAUUUUUUAUGUCAUGUACAUAGAUAAAAUUCAAAAUCACAGCCUGCUUGAUAAGGACUUGACUAUGACCAUGUGCAAGGUUCUUUAUUUAACGUUGUAAGUAAUUACUGGGAUUGGUUGGAGAAUGAAGAUAAGGCAGGGCGCUUCCAAAUGACAGAUGAAAUGGGGCACUUGUAAUACUCACUCUGGUGCCAGAUAUCCAGUGGUCCCCAACACACGGGUGGAAACCUGACCGUUCUUCUUCUCUGAUCCCAUCUUAGCCAAUCCAAAAUCAGACACCUUGGCACGGAAAUUUUGAUCCAGCAGAACGUUGUUAGUCUUGAAGUCUCUGUGGAUCACCGGAGACACUGCAUGUUCAUGAAGGAAUUCCAGUGCCCUGGCACAAUCAAGGGCUAUCCUCAUCCUGGCCCACCAAUCCAACGGUUGAGUUUGAUCGUUGGGGGAGUGAAGAUGGUGGUGAAGUGUACCAUCGGGCAUGUAUUCAAAAAUCAAUAACCUGUGGUGUUGGUCAGCGCAAUAGCCAAGUAACUCCACCAAAUAUGGAGAGUGCAAGCGACUUAGGAGAUCGACCUGCAAUAAAUGUCAUUUAGUCUUCACACCCAUGUGCUGGAUUUGAAUAAAGCUCACAAUAUGAGUUGGCAAGUGGGAUGGACUGAUAGAAAGGGCGUGGUCACCGGUCAACCAGUUCCACCACUGUUAAGAGUGGAGCAAGGAGGUGAGUUUGUAUGGUAACUUUGCCAUCUCACACCAAUAACAACAAUCCAAUUACCACCUGCAUAACUCAAAAUCCCCGAAUUCAAUAACAACCAGUUCCAGUUCCUGGUUCAGUAAACCACUUCAAUCAUGCAUCAUUUUAUAUGAUUUAGUUUCUUCAUUUGGCUUGAAGGCUAGUUAAAGAAGGGGACAAAAUGACAAAUAAACUUGCUGCAUUUAGCUAAUCUAAAUUAGCAGCUGAUU